CGCAGCUCCAGUUGAUCCAUCGGAGCUUCUGGCCGCCGCCGGAGCUAUUGCCGGGCCGGUUCGAAAUCGCAGCUGCCUCAUUGUGUUAAUUCUUGUUGCUAUGGUUAUUGCGAAAGUGGCUG